ensembl:snRNA U6 U6 spliceosomal RNA
GCUUGAUUUGACAAGCAGGGACACAAAAUCAGAGACAACACAGAGAAGAUUAGCACAGCACCUCCACAAGGAUGAGACGCAACAGUCAAACUCUACGAUUAA